UUAAGCUAAUAAGAGCGCAGGGAGGAUGCCUUGGCAUCAGGAGCCGAAGAAGGACGUGGUAAGCUGCGAAAAGCUACGGGGAUUGGCAAGCACGAUAUGAUCCGUAGAUAUCCGAAUGGAGCAAUCCACAUGGAGUCAAGUCCAUGUAUCAUAUACUGAAUAAAUAGGUAUAUGAGGGGAACCGCCCGAACUGAAACAUCUAAGUAGGGCGAGGAAAAGAAAUCAACCGAGAUUCUGUGAGUAGUGGCGAGCGAAAGCGGAAGAGGCUAAACCGAGAGGAGCAAUCCUUUCGGGGUUUAGGACUGCAUUUAGUACAAUGAUUGUUAACCGAACAGCAUGGGAAGGCUGAUCAAAGAAGGUGAGAAUCCUGUAGGUGAAAACGAAAGUUGACGAGCAGUAUCCAAAGUACCGCGGGGCACGUGAAAUCCCGUGGGAAGAUGGGGGGACCAUCCUCCAAGCCUAAAUACUACCUGAUGACCGAUAGCGAAUAGUACUGUGAAGGAAAGGUGAAAAGCACCCCGGGAGGGGAGUGAAAGAGAACCUGAAACCCUGUGCUUACAAGCACUUAGAGCACGUCAAAGUGUGAUAAGGUACCUAUUGUAGAAUGGUCCGGCGAGUUAUUGUAUGCAGCGAGGUUAAGUAGUUCAGCUACGGAGCCGAAGUGAGAGCGAGUGUUAACAGCACGUUCAGUUGCAUGCAAUAGACCCGAAACCGGGUGACCUAUCCAUGUCCAGGAUGAAGUGAGGGUAAAACCUCAUGGAGGUCCGAACCCACUCCCGUUGAAAUGGUAGGGGAUGAGGUGUGGAUAGCGGAGAAAUUCCAAUCGAACCCGGAUAUAGCUGGUUCUCCCCGAAAUAGUUUUAGGACUAGCCUCGUGAUCAAGAUUAUCGGAGGUAAAGCACUGAAUGGCCUAGGGGUCGAGAGAUUACCGAAGCCUAUCAAACUCUGAAUGCCGAAUAAUCAUGCACGGGAGUCAGACUGUGUGAGAUAAGUUUCAUAGUCGAAAGGGAAACAGCCCAGACCUACAGCUAAGGUCCCAAAGUACGUUUAAGUGGAAAACGAUGUGAAAUUGCGUAGACAACCAGGAUGUUGGCUUAGAAGCAGCCAUACAUUAAAAGAGUGCGUAAUAGCUCACUGGUCGAGUGACUUUGCGCGGAAAAUUUAACGGGGCUAAAACGUACACCGAAGCUUAGGCUUGUCACAAUGUGACAGGGGUAGGGGAGCGUUGAAUGAGGGGUGAAGUCGUAGCGAAAGCGACGGUGGACUUCAUUCAAGUGAGAAUGCCGGAAUGAGUAGCGAGAAUUAUGUGAGAAUCAUAAUGGCCGAAAGCCUAAGGUUUUUGGAGGAAGGUUCGUCCGCUCCAAGUAAGUCGGAAGCUAAGGUGAGGCUGAAAAGCGUAGCCGAUGCACAAACGGUUGAAAUUCCGUUACCACAGAAAGAUUUAAACUAAGGGACACUUUUGAAGAGCUGAUGCCGGGUGUUGGUUACCCCGGUCGUAAGGGAACGAAAUCAAGUAGUGAAGUCAGCGUGGAUGAAGGCGAGAAAAGCUUAGUGUAUAUCUUAUGUGUCCGUACCGCAAACCGACACAGGUAGGUAGGAAGAGAAUUCUAAGGCCAACGGGAGAAGGGUAGUUAAGGAACUCGGCAAAAUGUCCCCGUAACUUCGGAAUAAGGGGAGGUUUCUACGGAAACCCGCAGAGAAUAGUCCCAGGCAACUGUUUAUCAAAAACACAGCUCUAUGCUAAAUCGAAAGAUGACGUAUAUGGGGUGACGCCUGCCCGGUGCCGGAAGGUUAAGAGGAGGAGUGAGAGCCCUGAAUCGAAGCCCCGGUAAACGGCGGCCGUAACUAUAACGGUCCUAAGGUAGCGAAAUUCCUUGUCAGGUAAGUUCUGACCCGCACGAAUGGCGUAAUGAUCUGGGAGCUGUCUCAACUGCCCGCCCGGCGAAAUUGUAGUACCGGUGAAGAUGCCGGUUACCCGCGACUAGACGGAAAGACCCCAUGGAGCUUUACUGUAGCUUAAUAUUGGAUUUCGGCAUUUCAUGUACAGGAUAGGUGGGAGACUAGGAAACAUAGGCGUCAGCUUAUGCGGAGUCGUCCUUGGGAUACCACUCUUGGAGUGCUGAAAUUCUAACCUGCAGCCCUGAAUCGGGUUGGGGGACAUUGUUAGGUGGGCAGUUUGACUGGGGCGGUCGCCU
rnacentral:rRNA from 1 species